AAAGCAGGUCUGCAAUUGCAGCACUUAGUUACAGUGGAGUGCUGUCAUUAACCCUGCUGAGAGCAUGUUUCUGCUGCAGAGCUUGUUCUCUCACUUGCUGUGCCGGUGAUGAGGAAACUCUGUAGCCGAACACUA
ensembl:snoRNA small nucleolar RNA SNORA69